AUUGAACGCUGGCGGCAGGCCUAACACAUGCAAGUCGAGCGAGAAAGGUCUUCGGACUGAGUACAGCGGCGGACGGGUGAGUAAUGCGCAGGAAUCUACCUGGUAGUGGGGGGAUAACUCGGGGAAACUCGAACUAAUACCGCAUACGCCCUACGGGGAAAGCGGGGGACCGUUCGGGCCUCGCGCUAUCAGAUGAGCCUGCGUAGGAUUAGCUUGUUGGUGAGGUAAAGGCUCACCAAGGCGACGAUCCUUAGCUGGUCUGAGAGGAUGAUCAGCCACACUGGAACUGAGACACGGUCCAGACUCCUACGGGAGGCAGCAGUGGGGAAUAUUGCGCAAUGGGCGAAAGCCUGACGCAGCCAUGCCGCGUGUGUGAAGAAGGCCCUUGGGUUGUAAAGCACUUUCAAUUGGGAAGAAAGGUUGCGUGUUAAUAGCACGUAGCUGUGACGUUACCUUUAGAAGAAGCACCGGCUAACUCCGUGCCAGCAGCC
rnacentral:rRNA from 1 species